GAUGAACGCUGGCGGCGUGCCUAAUACAUGCAAGUCGAGCGGACAGACGAUGAUCUUGCUGCUCGGACGUUAGCGGCGGACGGGUGAGUAACACGUGUAUAACCUACCUAUAAUACUGGUAUAACUUCGAGAAAGCGGCGCUAAUACCGUAGGAUAUAUUGCAGCACAGUGGGGAAUGGUAAAAUACGGUGGUUCUGGCAGGUAUAGAGGGAUCCGCGCCGUAUUAGCUAGUUGGUAAGUUAACGGCUUACCAAGGCAACGAUGCGUGGGCGACCUGAGAGGGUGAUCGGCCACCCUGGAACUGAGACACGGUCAAGACUACUACGGGAGGCAGCAGUCGGGAAUCUUACGCAGUGGGCGAAAGCCUGACGGAGCAACGCCGCGUGAGUGAUGACGGUCUUCGGAUCGUAAAACUCUGUUAUUAGGGAAGAACAAAUGUGUAAGUAACUAUGCACGUCUUGACGGUAACUAAUCAGAAAGCAACGGCUAACUACGUG
rnacentral:rRNA from 1 species